rnacentral:rRNA from 1 species
GUCACACGGAACUGCCCGGGUCCGAUAAACCGGAGGAAGGUGGGGAGUGACGUCAAGUCAGCAUGGCCUUUAUAUCCUGGGCUACACACACGCUACAAUGGGAAGGGACAAUAGGUUGCGAAGCCGCGAGGCGGAGCCAAUCCAGCAAAACUUCCCUCAGUUCAGAUUGCAGGCUGCAACUCGCCUGCAUGAAGUUGGAGUUGCUAGUAAACGCAGGUCAGCCAUACUGCGUUGAAUACGUUCCCGGGGCUU